AUGUGUCCCGUGCACUAUUCUCCCUCACCAACCAACCAAUCACUUUCCCACAUUUUCUCACCCAAUCAGACAGCUCCUCUCUCUUUCUCAUUGACCAAUCAGAAAACCUUUCUCUUUCUCUUCUUCUUCUUCUUCUUCUUCUUCUUCUUCUUCUUCUUCUUCUCCUCUCACGCCAAGCCUCUCUCUUCCUUCUGCAACACAAAGAAUCAUCAUCAAACCUCAUAAAUCGACCCUCAAAUCACCACCAUCGUGCUCCCCUCAUCCUCAUGAGUCCAUCCAUAUGAGCCAAUCUAAGUGGUUGAGUUUUGAGUGUCCAACUUGGAGCAACUUGGAGCUCCGACUUGGAUGUAGGUUUUUUCGACAAUUUUUCGUUCAAGUUGCACGGUUUUGGAAGGUUUGGAGACAUCUAGGCAACUCUCUGGAGUCCCUAGCCUAAGUUCGAAGUGGAGCCAUCAUGAAAACACACGGUUUUGAGACAACUAAAAUAGGUUCGAGACUUUCAAGGCUUUUUCAAUCUAUUUCCAUCUAGUUUUUGGACUUUUGAAAGAAACCGGCAAACCAGAUAGUAGCGGACAGCGAAGGACAACCAGAGAAGAAAGAGAAUAUUCCGUUAAAAUUAAUGGAAUAUUCUAACACCGUUAAGUAACGCCGUUAAACUUAACGGAAUAUUUCGUCAAAUCUGACAGAAUAUUCCCUAGGGUUUCUGUCAGUUUGUCAGGCGCGUGGUUGACACGUACGAGUCCGUGACGUCGAGUAAAAUGUUUUCGUAUAUUUAAACCCUCCAUUUGAGCAAACUAUGGGGGAUUUUCCUAGCCUUUUAGUGUAUGUCCUUAAUUAAUUAGUAUAGUUGUUUCACAUAUAGGUGAGAACUACCCCGAGGAGGUACGAGGACAAGCAAGGCUAGGAGGCUAUGAUUCAACCACGUAUCAGAAUUAGAUAGCUGAACUCGUGUGGCAUACGAGGAAUCUCCGGCGUAUUCUGACAUUUCUAUAGAUAAAUGUAGGAGAUUUUUUUCCGAUUGUGUAUUAAGUACUUUAAUUAGUUUCAAUUGCACUACUUUUGUCGUACUGUCAUCUAUGCUCUGAACAUUUGUGUUUUAUGAGUUUUUCCCACUACUACGCACUCGCUACUUUAGAUUAAA